CAUCCAAGUACAAUAGGCCAUCAGUGGGACAUCAUAGAGGGUGACAAUCCCGUCCUUGAUGCCAAUGUACAAGUCCGUUACGAUGACUAUCUCAGAGAGUCGAGCAGUUUGGGAUUUGCUGCUUAAACAUGGGAGGUAGAUUCCUUCUAAAGCUAAAUACAGGCGAGAGACCGAUAGAGAACAAGUACCGCAAGGGAAAGAUGAAAUAGAACUCUGUGAAGGGAGUCAAAAGGCGUGAAAUUGUUGCGAGAGAAGCGAUUCAAGUCAGCGUAGCUAGGCCCAUCAAGCUUUAUCGCUUUGGACUAGCUUUGCCAGCGGUCUUGUCCCUAGAGACUUGACUUUUGUGAUGCCCAGCCUGGUCUAUACAGGUAGCCCCUCUGGGGGCCAGUGGCAUGGCUGGUGGAAUGGCUUGCAAUCGACCCGUCUUGAAACACGGACCAAGGAGUCUAACAUGUAUGCGAGUAUAAGGGUGGCAAACCCGUAUGCGCAAUGAAAGUGACUUUCGUUGAUUGAGAAUGGCCUGACGACCAGACAAGCAAUACAUGUCCCUCGAACGGCCAUUGCCCAAGUUCCGUGGUAGAACCCACGAACAUGGAGUUGGAGCAUACAUGCUAGGACCCGAAAGAUGGUGAACUAUGCCUGGACAAAGCGAAGCCAAAGGAAACUCUGGUGGAGGCUUGUAGCGAUUCUGACGUGCAAAUCGAUCGUCUGAUCUGGGUAUAGGGGCGAAAGACUAAUCGAACCAUCUCAUAGCUGGUUCCUGCCGAU
rnacentral:rRNA from 1 species